UACGAAGGGUGCAAGCGUUAAUCGGAAUUACUGGGCGUAAAGAGCUCGUAGGCGGUUUGUCGCGUCUGCUGUGAAAUCCCGAGGCUCAACCUGGGAAUGGCGAUGGAUACUGGCGAGCUAGAGUGUGUCAGAGGAUGGUGGAAUUCCCGGUGUAGCGGUGAAAUGCGUAGAGAUGUGGAGGAACACCGAUGGCGAAGGCAGCCCCCUGGGCCGAUACUGACGCUCAGGCACGAAAGCGUGGGGAGCAAACAGG
rnacentral:rRNA from 1 species